UACAGAGGUCUCAAGCGUUGUUCGGAUUCAUUGGGCGUAAAGGGUGCGUAGGCGGCGCGGUAAGUCGGGUGUGAAAACUCCAGGCUCAACUUGGAGACGCCACCCGAUACUGCUCUGACUUGAGUUCGGUAGGGGAGUGGGGAAUUCCUGGUGUAGCGGUGAAAUGCGCAGAUAUCAGGAGGAACACCGGUGGCGAAGGCGCCACUCUGGGCCGAAACUGACGCUGAGGAGCGAAAGCGUGGGUAGCAAACAGG
rnacentral:rRNA from 1 species